AAGUCUGAUGGAGCAACGCCGCGUGAGUGAAGAAGGUCUUCGGAUCGUAAAACUCUGUUGUUAGAGAAGAACACGAGUGAGAGUAACUGUUCAUUCGAUGACGGUAUCUAACCAGCAAGUCACGGCUAACUACGUGCCAGCAGCCGCGGUAAUACGUAGGUGGCAAGCGUUGUCCGGAUUUAUUGGGCGUAAAGGGAACGCAGGCGGUCUUUUAAGUCUGAUGUGAAAGCCUUCGGCUUAACCGGAGUAGUGCAUUGGAAACUGGAAGACUUGAGUGCAGAAGAGGAGAGUGGAACUCCAUGUGUAGCGGUGAAAUGCGUAGAUAUAUGGAAGAACACCAGUGGCGAAAGCGGCUCUCUGGUCUGUAACUGACGCUGAGGUUCGAAAGCGUGGGUAGCAAACAGGAUUAGAUACCCUGGUAGUCCACGCCGUAAACGAUGAAUGCUAGGUGUUGGAGGGUUUCCGCCCUUCAGUGCCGCAGCUAACGCAAUAAGCAUUCCGCCUGGGGAGUACGACCGCAAGGUUGAAACUCAAAGGAAUUGACGGGGGCCCGCACAAGCGGUGGAGCAUGUGGUUUAAUUCGAAGCAACGCGAAGAACCUUACCAGGUCUUGACAUCCUUUGACCACCUAAGAGAUUAGGC
rnacentral:rRNA from 2 species